rnacentral:rRNA from 1 species
AUUGAACGCUGGCGGCAGGCCUAACACAUGCAAGUCGAACGGUAACAGGAAGCAGCUUGCUGCUUCGCUGACGAGUGGCGGACGGGUGAGUAAUGUCUGGGAAACUGCCUGAUGGAGGGGGAUAACUACUGGAAACGGUAGCUAAUACCGCAUAACGUCGCAAGACCAAAGAGGGGGACCUUCGGGCCUCUUGCCAUCGGAUGUGCCCAGAUGGGAUUAGCUAGUAGGUGGGGUAACGGCUCACCUAGGCGACGAUCCCUAGCUGGUCUGAGGGGAUGACCAGCCACACUGGAACUGAGACACGGUCCAGACUCCUACGGGAGGUAGCAGUGGGGAAUAUUGCACAAUGGGCGCAAGCCUGAUGCAGCCAUGCCGCGUGUAUGAAGAAGGCCUUCGGGUUGUAAAGUACUUUCAGCGGGGAGGAAGGUGUUGAGGUUAAUAACCUCAGCAAUUGACGUUACCCGCAGAAGAAGCACCGGCUAACUCCGUGCCAGCCGCCGCCGUAAUAC